rnacentral:tRNA from 1 species
ACCUCAAUAGCUCAGUGGUAGAGCGGGUCGGCUGUUAACUGACUGGUCGUAGGUCCGAUUCCUGCUUGGGAGA